rnacentral:rRNA from 1 species
AGCAGCCGCGGUAAUUCCAGCUCCAAUAGCGUAUAUUAAAGUUGUUGCAGUUAAAAAGCUCGUAGUUGAAUUUCGGGAUUGACGUGAUGGUCAUGCCUUAAGGGGUAUGAACUGUCACUGUUGAUUUCUCACCUUCUGGAGAAACUUGAUGUCCUUUAUUGGGUGUCUUGCGGAUCCAGGACCUUUACCUUGAAAAAUUAGAGUGUUUAAAGCAGGCAUUUUUGCUCGAAUACAUUAGCAUGGAAUAAUAGAAUAGGACGGCAUGGUUCUAUUUUGUUGGUUUCUAGGAUCACCGUAAUGAUUAAUAGGGAUAGUUGGGGGCAUUAGUAUUCAAUUGUCAGAGGUGAAAUUCUUGGAUUUAUUGAAGACUAACUACUGCGAAAGCAUUUGCCAAGGAUGUUUUCAUUAAUCAAGAACGAAAGUUAGGGGA